rnacentral:rRNA from 1 species
UACGGAGGGAGCUAGCGUUGUUCGGAAUUACUGGGCGUAAAGCGCGCGUAGGCGGCUUUGUAAGUUAGAGGUGAAAGCCCGGGGCUCAACUCCGGAACUGCCUUUAAGACUGCAUCGCUAGAAUUGUGGAGAGGUGAGUGGAAUUCCGAGUGUAGCGGUGAAAUGCGUAGAUAUUGGGAGGAACACCAGUGGCGAAGGCGGCUCACUGGACCGGAACUGACGCUGAGGCGCGAAAGCGUGGGGAGCAAACGGG